rnacentral:rRNA from 1 species
UUCUCCUGGAAACGGGUGGUAAUGCCGGAUGCUCCAGUUGAUCGCAUGGUCUUCUGGGAAAGCUUUCGCGGUAUGGGAUGGGGUCGCGUCCUAUCAGCUUGACGGCGGGGUAACGGCCCACCGUGGCUUCGACGGGUAGCCGGCCUGAGAGGGCGACCGGCCACAUUGGGACUGAGAUACGGCCCAGACUCCUACGGGAGGCAGCAGUGGGGAAUAUUGCACAAUGGGCGCAAGCCUGAUGCAGCGACGCCGCGUGAGGGAUGGAGGCCUUCGGGUUGUAAACCUCUUUUAUCGGGGAGCAAGCGAGAGUGAGUUUACCCGUUGAAUAAGCACCGGCUAACUACGUGCCAGCAGCCGCGGUAAUACGUAGGGUGCAAGCGUUAUCCGGAAUUAUUGGGCGUAAAGGGCUCGUAGGCGGUUCGUCGCGUCCGGUGUGAAAGUCCAUCGCUUAACGGUGGAUCCGCGCCGGGUACGGGCGGGCUUGAGUGCGGUAGGGGAGACUGGAAUUCCCGGUGUAACGGUGGAAUGUGUAGAUAUCGAAAAAGAAACACC